UUGGAGGGCAAGUCUGGUGCCAGCAGCCGCGGUAAUUCCAGCUCCAAUAGCGUAUAUUAAAGUUGUUGCAGUUAAAAAGCUCGUAGUUGAAUUUCGGGGUUAGUAGGUUGGUCAUGCCUCUGGUAUGUACUGGUCUCACUGAUUCCUCCUUCCUGAUGAGCCAUAAUGCCAUUAAUUUGGUGUUGCGGGGAAUUUGGACUGUUACUUUGAAAAAAUUAGAGUGUUUAAAGCAGGCGCACGCUUGAACACAUUAGCAUGGAAUAAUGAAAUAGGACGUUUGAUUCUAUUUUGUUGGUUUCUAGGAUCGACGUAAUGAUUAAUAGGGAUAGUUGGGGGCAUUAGUAUUCAAUUGUCAGAGGUGAAAUUCUUGGAUUUAUUGAAGACUAACUACUGCGAAAGCAUUUGCCAAGGAUGUUUUCAUUAAUCAAGAGCGAAAGUUAGGGGAUCGAAGACGAUCAGAUACCGUCGUAGUCUUAACCAUAAACUAUGCCGACUAGGGAUCGGAUGAUGUUAAUUUUAUAAUGACUCAUUCGGCGCCUUACGGGAAACCAAAGUGUUUGGGUUC
rnacentral:rRNA from 1 species